rnacentral:misc_RNA from 1 species
CCUUAUUUCACAAUGACUAUAAUCCAAUUAUCUGAUAAAUUAUCAACUAUAAAAGGAUGGAACGUAAAAAGAGUCCUCUAUUUCGUGCAAUUGGCAUUUUCAUAACGUGAGAAUAUCGUACCUCUAAGUCUGGAAUUCGGUGAUCGACGAGAAGUAGGAGAGGAUGAUUAUCCCGAGACAAUUCUCUUUCAUCGUACACGUAGGAUAUGGGUUGACAUUUAGUCAUAGCGAUAAAUAAUAGAGAUAGGAGCAGGCUCAUAAGCGUCAUUGUAUCUGCAAGCACGGGAAACGAAUGUAUCUGAAACAGAGUAAAG